UCGGGAAUUUUGGGCAAUGGGCGCAAGCCUGAUCCAGCGACGCCGCGUGUGUGAAGAAGGCCUGCGGGUUGUAAAGCACUUUCGAUGGGAACGAAAUGUGCCGGGUUAAUACCCCGGUAAGCUGACGUUACUCAAUGAAGAAGCACCGGCUAACUCUGUGCCAGCAGCCGCGGUAAUACAGAGGGUGCGAGCGUUAAUCGGAAUUACUGGGCGUAAAGCGCACGUAGGUGGCGACGUAAGUCGGGUGUGAAAGCCCCGGGCUCAACCUGGGAACUGCGUCUGAUACUGGAGGGCUUGAGUAUGGGAGAGGGAUGUAGAAUUCCAGGUGUAGCGGUGAAAUGCGUAGAUAUCUGGAGGAAUACCGGUGGCGAAGGCGGCAUCCUGGACCAUUACUGACGCUGAGGCGCGAAAGCUAGGGGAGCAAACGGGAUUAGAUACCCCCGUAGUCCCUGAGCGGGCUGGCAAGGCGCAU
rnacentral:rRNA from 1 species